GUGAGUCAUCGAAUCUUUGAACGCACAUUGCGCCCGCUGGUAUUCCGGCGGGCAUGCCUGUCCGAGCGUCAUUUCGUCCCUCAAGCCCCCGCGCUUGGUGUUGGGCGUCCCCGCGGGCCUUCACGGCCGGCGGGCGCCCCAAAUGCAUCGGCGGUCCCGCCUGGCGGCUCCCUGCGUAGUAGAAUCUCUUCUCGCAUCGGGUCCCGGGCGCGCGGCCAGCCGCUAAACCCCCCAAUCGUACCAACGGUUGACCUCGGAUCAGGUAGGACUACCCGCUGAACUUAAGCAUAUCAAUAAGCGGAGGA
rnacentral:misc_RNA from 1 species